AAAGUCGAGCGAGUCUGCCCUUGAAAGAUCGGAGUGCUUGCACUCUGUGAAACAGAUACAGGCUAGCGGCGGACGGGUGAGUAACACGUGGGUAAACCUGCCCCAAGAGAUCGGGGAUAACACCUGGAACAGAUGCUAAUACCGGAUAACAACAGAUGAUGCCUAUCAACUGUUUAAAAAGAUGGUUCUGCUAUCACUCUUGGGAUGGACCUGCGGUGCAUUAACUAGUUGGUAGGGGUAACGGGCCUACCCAAGGCGAUGAUGCAUAGCCCGAGUUGAGAGACUGAUCGGGCCACAUUGGGACUGAGACACGGCCAAAACUCCUACGGGAGGCAGCAGUAGGGAAUCUUCCACAAUGGACGCAAGUCUGAUGGGGCAACGCCGCGUGAGUGAAGAAGGGUUUCGGCUCGUAAAAGCUCUGUUGUUGGCGAAGAAGGACAGGGGUAGUAACUGACCUUUGUUUGACGGUAAUCAAUUAGAAAGUCACGGCUAACUACGUGCCAGCAGCCGCGGUAAU
rnacentral:rRNA from 1 species